GGAAUUUCUUUUGUUUCCUAGAAAUUUAUCUUUGUCUAUUGUAGAGAUCAGUUUCUCUUUUCGGUAUUAAUUACUAGAAUAGAAGCGAAAUCCGUAGGUAAGGAAACUAAUCAUACAGUUUCAAGGCUUAAGUUGAUGACACAUGUAUACCCAAUCUGAGUAGCCCUCAACAGCAUGAGCUUUGAGUUCUCAAAGGUCUGAGCUCCCUUUCCUUCUAUGGCUUUGGGAAUAGACGAGUUAGCCUAUAAUAUCUAAAUGCCUACAUGGCCUCUAAAGCUGGCAUGGUGGGCAAAUUGAAACAGGCCAGCUGCAUGACACUGCUUACCUGCUGUGGGUCACAAUUGCAGUCAGAUGUCUCCAUGGUGACCUCUCUGAGCCAUGAGGCCGGAACUGUGGGAUUAACAUCCCACGACUGGAGCAACCACAGUGCUGAGAACAGCUUUGACUACUGUGGUUCCAGGGAGAAACUUUGCCAGGACCCACGUAUGGGCACAGCUGUUUUCCCUGAUCAGGAUCUUUGCAGCACCCAACACACAGCAAACCAGAUGAUAAGAGGAGCUGACCAGCAGAGACUGCCAUCAUUUUAUGUUGGCAGAUACAUUAAGUGGCAGAUGCCUGAAAGGAAAAAUGAAAAAAAAAAAAAAAAAAAAAAAACUUUGAGAAAAGCAGGCGGUGACGUAAGACCUCAAAUCUCAGAGACCCAGAGCAAUUUCAUUUCAGGAGGAGCAACCCUAAGUGGCUUCUGCAGUCAUCACCCUAUUUCAGCGCCGUAUGAUAACUGACUUAAUGACCCUCAAAUGCUGGGGCUGAGAAGAUACCUUAGGGAUCAAGUCCAACACUCCCAAUUUACAGAUGGGGAAGUGGAGGCUAGAGAAGCCUUGAGGGCCCAGUUCAGGAUCAUAGCUGGCUAGUGGUGGAGCUCCCAUUGGAACCAGGAUCCCCUGACCCCAAUGCAUUUUUUCUUGAAAAAAAAAAAAAAAAAAACGGUUGAAGCCUCAUUGCUUAAACCCAACGAUUGAAUGAGAUAAUGUACAGAAGGUUAGCACUCAGACACAGAAAGAGAGCCAAGUUUCGUCAGUGAUUGUGAAUAAAAAAUCUGAUAUAAAGAAUGGUUGAGCA
rnacentral:lncRNA from 1 species